UCCUUGGUAGCUCAGGUGGUAAAGCGUCCGCCUGCAAUGCAGGAGACCUGGGUUCGAUCCCCGGGUCAGGAA
rnacentral:tRNA from 1 species